UAGCUUCUUUAGACCUCACUGCUAGGUAGACCAUGUGGAUAGACCUGAAGCCUACCAUUAUACCCAUUAGCUUCUUUAGACCUCACUGCUAGGUAGACCAUGUGGAUAGACCUGAAGCCUACCAUUAUACCCAUUAGCUUCUUUAGACCUCACUGCUAGGUAGACCAUGUGGAUAGACCUGAAGUCUACCAUUAUACUCAUUAGCCUCUUAAGACCUCAUAGCGGCGUCUGCCUUCGGUCUCUUUCUUGUCUGCGUCUUGUGUACAUUGAGUUUGACUAAUGCAUAGCGAGUUGGUUUAUUAUACCGCAUAUGUGCGAGCUCAUUAGACUUCAUUAGCUUUUUCAUGGCUAGAUGACUCAACUAUAUAGAGGGACUUGAGGUCAUAUCAUGACAUUGGUGGAUUAAUGAGAGAAGAAUAUCAUGUGCUGUUCAGAAAGGAAAAUGAUGCUGAUUAUUAAUUUUGGCAGUUACACAGGGUCAUUAGGUUUGACAAACACCCUAAUUAGGUCUCAGUUUAGAUUAUCAUAAUUGUUGUUAGCUGCUUUGAUUAAGUGCAGUCCACCAGUUUGGACCAAUUGAAAACAAUUGGUGACUUAAUGGACAAACUAGAUUUUAAUAAUGGUGAAAAAGAGAUAAAUGUUUUUUUUAUUAUUAUUGUGAUUAUGAUUAAUCAUUCUUUGUUAGGCAAACAAAUUCUCUGAAGUUCCCGACAAUCCAUUUAUCUCUGAUGUUAAAUUGCAUGGAUGUAUGACUGUAUUUUGUUGUAGCCAUCUUGGAAAAAGGCUGACAUCUUGUGAAAUGUGAUGUUAUGAUGAAAGGCUUUUAGAGGUCCAGUUUUCAUUUUAAACGAUCAACAAUAUGGAUGUAUUUUUAAAGGAACAGUGACAAGACAAUAUUCCACAAAACUCACUUCUUUGUUUCAAGACCUUUAAAGCAACAUGAUGAAGGAAUUGACCACUUUUUGGUAUGUUUUUAUAGGCAACUGGUUUUGGUAUUAUUAAAAUUUAAUUUGAUGGUAUAUGGUCAUUCCCAAGCCUUUAUCCCUGCCAACUGUGCUGAUGUUGGUGUUUGCCAGAUGUUUGCAUGCCUUUGAGAUGGCUAGUCGUAGAGUCCUUACUGCUGCUUUACGGUGCAUUGGAAUAAUAAAGAGAGGAUGCAUAGAAUGAAAAUAGAAAUUGUGAUACCUGGAUACCCAAGAAAUGUUCAGUAGAUUGCCUCACGUUGCGUCUUAUUAAAUAGACUGUUGAAAUUGGUGAGAGAUGAAGACUUAAGAUACACCUAAUUGAUGAGGGACCCUCUGGGGGGAAAAAAAAAAAGAAGAGGAUGGAGAUCCCUUUUACCGUGAUUUAUUAGUCUAUGUGGUAUUAUU
ensembl:lncRNA